rnacentral:lncRNA from 1 species
UGUCUCGAAAAAAAAAAAAAAAAAAGUAAGAUGUGAGUGCUACUAUUCUACUCUUACAUUUCUCCUACCGUCCAGAUCAUCACUUCGGUCCACAGCCAUCAGAGCUUCAUAGAACUAUUGGUUGGUUCCCUCUUUUGGAAGCUUGCUUAGCACCUUAUGUUACUGUAAAAGCUAAUCCAGAAGCUUUCAGGUCCAAACAGCUCAGGUCCUCUAUGGCCUAUGUCUAAAGUGCAAGGCUGGAAUUAAAGGUAUACAUCACCAUGCCCAGCUCCCCAUGGAAUCUCCUUUCCUUUCCUGCUUUCUGUGGUUACUCCAGGUUAUUUACCCACAUCUGAAGAUCUGAAGCCAAGAACCACAAAUGAGAGAGAACAUUCAGAGUUUAGUCUUCAAGUAUCAAGGCUGCCCCACUCAGUAUUCUCAGUAUUCUCAUCCAUUUACCUGUACAUUUCAUAAUUCCAUUUUUCUUUACAGCUGAAUAGUAUUCCAUAGUGUUUAUAUAUUUCGCCAUCCAUUCAUCAGUUGAAUAGCAUUUGAGUUCAGUUCUUUCCAUUCCUGUUUUGUAUGCAUCAGCAGUGAAACAUGACUAGCAAGUGUCUGGAAAUGAGGAUUCCUCUUCCUCCACAUUUUCUCCAGCAUUUGCUAUCUGUUGACUUGUUGAUCUUAACCAUUCUGGCUUGGGUAAGAUGAAGUCUCAAAAUUUUGAUUUACAAUUACCUAGUUGCUAAAGAUGUUUGUGAUUGUUUGAAUAGGAAUGUCCCCCAUAGGCUCCUAUGUUUGAAUACUUGAUCAAUAGGGAGUGGCACUAUUAGAAGGUGGUGUUGUUGGAAUAGGUGUAGCCUUUUUGGAGGAAGUGUGUCAAUAGAAGGUGAACUUUGAGGUCACAGAAUCUCAAGCCAGUUCUCUUCCUGCUACCUGCCAAUCUGGAUGUAGAACUAACUCUCGGCUGCCUCUCCAGCAGCAAGUCUGCCAUGUUUCUGCCACUGUGACAAUAAUGACUAAACCUUUGAACUGUAAGCCAGUCCCAAUUAAAUGAUUCCCUUUAUAAGAGUUGCCUUGGUCAUGGUGACUCUUUACAGCCAUAAAACCCUAACACAAUGCUGAAUAUUUUUUGAGAUAUUUCUUAGCCACUUUAAUUUUUAUUUAUUUUUGAGAACUCUCUAUUCAAAUCUAUAACUUACCUUUUGGCUCUUUAUAUAUUCUGGAUAAGAAUCUUCAUCAUUAACAGAGAUUCUCUCCCAUUUAGGUCUUUCUCUUUACCCAAUUGAUUGUUUUCCUUUUCU